UACGAAGGGGGCGAGCGUUGUUCGGAAUUACUGGGCGUAAAGGGCGCGCAGGCGGCUCUGAAAGUCAGAUGUGAAAGCCCCGGGCUUAACCUGGGAAUUGCAUUUGAUACUCUGGAGCUUGAGUACGGGAGAGGAGAGUGGAGUUCCCAGUGUAGAGGUGAAAUUCGUAGAUAUUGGGAAGAACACCGGUGGCGAAGGCGGCUCUCUGGACCGUAACUGACGCUGAGGCGCGAAAGCGUGGGGAGCAAACAGG
rnacentral:rRNA from 1 species